AAUAGAAUAGGAAAUGAUUUUAUCUUGACGGUACCUUAUUAGAAAGCGACGGCAAACUAUGUGCCAGCAGCCGCGGUAAUACAUAGGUCGCAAGCGUUAUCCGGAAUUAUUGGGCGUAAAGCGUCCGUAGGUUUUUUGCUAAGUCUGGAGUUAAAUGCUGAAGCUCAACUUCAGUCCGCUUUGGAUACUGGCAAAAUAGAAUUAUAAAGAGGUUAGCGGAAUUCCUAGUGAAGCGGUGGAAUGCGUAGAUAUUAGGAAGAACACCAAUAGGCGAAGGCAGCUAACUGGUUAUAUAUUGACACUAAGGGACGAAAGCGUGGGGAGCAAACAGGAUUAGAUACCCUGGUAGUCCACGCCGUAAACGAUGAUCAUUAGUUGGUGGAAUAAUUUCACUAACGCAGCUAACGCGUUAAAUGAUCCGCCUGAAUAGUAUGCUCGCAAGAGUGAAACUUAAAGGAAUUGACGGGAACCCGCACAAGCGGUGGAGCAUGUGGUUUAAUUUGAAAAUACGCGUAGAACCUUACCCACUCUUGACAUCUUCUGCAAAGCUAUAGAGAUAUAGUGGAGGUUAACAGAAUGACAGAUGGUGCAUGGUUGUCGUCAGCUCGUGUCGUGAGAUGUUAGGUUAAGUCCUGCAACGAGCGCAACCCUUUUCUUUAGUUACUAAUAUUAAGUUAAGGACUCUAGAGAUACUGCCUGGGUAACCAGGAGGAAGGUGGGGACGACGUCAAAUCAUCAUGCCUCUUACGAGUGGGGCAACACACGUGCUACAAUGGUCGGUACAAAGAGAAGCAAUAUGGUGACAUGGAGCAAAUCUCAAAAAACCGAUCUCAGUUCGGAUUGAAGUCUGCAACUCGACUUCAUGAAGUCGGAAUCGCUAGUAAUCGUAGAUCAGCUACGCUACGGUGAAUACGUUCUCGGGUUUUGUACACACCGCCCGUCGCACCAUGGGAGUUGGUAAUGCCCAAAGUCGGUGAGUUAACUUCGGAGACCAUUGCCUAAGGCAGGACUGAUGACUGGGGUAAAGUCGUAACAAGGUAUCCCUACGAGAACGUGGGGAUG
rnacentral:rRNA from 1 species